rnacentral:tRNA from 1 species
GCUGGGUGGCUCAGUCGGUUGAGUGCCUGACUUUGGCUCAGGUCAUGAUCUCACAGUUUGUGGGUUCGAGUCCCAUCUCAGGCU